rnacentral:lncRNA from 1 species
AGAAACCACGACCAGACAUUUACCGAUGACUGGGAAAAAGAAACCACAACCAGACAUUUAUCGAUGACUGGGAAAGAGAAGAAUCACAACCAGACAUUUACCGAUGACUGGGAAAAAGAAACCACGACCAGACAUUUACCGAUGAUUGGGAAAAAGAAACCACAACCAGACAUUUACCGAUGACUGGGAAAAAGAAACCACAACCAGACAUUUACCGAUGACUGGGAAAGAGAAGAAUCACAACCAGACAUUUACCGAUGACUGGGAAAAAG